AUCCGCCUAUGCCCUAGGGCUAGUGGAAGACUUAAGAUGGCGGCGUUUGCACGGAGUGCAAUCACUGCGUCCUUACGGGGGUUGCAAGGCGUCCGAAUCUCUUCAAAAUAUCGGAGAAUAAUUUCUUUCUCGCUGAUCGCCUAACUUCUACUGACGAAGCUUGGAAGUUGCAGAAGGUUGGAGUGCAAUGGCGCGAUCUCGGCUGACUGCAACCUCCACCUCCUGGAUUCAAGCUAUUCUCCUGCCUCAGCCUGCCGAGUAGCUGGGAUUACAGGCAUGUGCCACCGCACCCAGCUAAUUUUGUAUUUUUUAGUAGAGAUGGGGUUUCUCCAUGUUGGUCAGGCUGGUCUUGAACUCCUGACCUCAGGUGAUCCGCCCACCUCAGCCUCCCAAAGUGCUGGGAUUACAGGCGUGAGCCACCGCGCCCGGCCAGAACAUUAGUUUUAAACUUCCUAACCCUUGGGAGAAGGCAAAACACUUGAUGAAAUCUACAUAAAGACUAAAACAUUUUACCAAUUUUGCAUUGUUUGUUUGAAAUUGCAUUGACGACUGGUAUGUUAAUUUUGUAUAUAUUUUUAUGAGAACAAUGUUGGACAUCAUUUAAUUUUUUUAGGUUUUUUUAAUUGAUUAUUGAUUGGUUCAUUUGCAGGAACUGACUAUUAGUAAUCAAGGAUACAAAUUGUUAAGAGAAUAUGUUACAGAGAAAAACUUGACAAGCUAGACUUAGAUUUUUGUCGUUAAAGAUAAUUUGUGGGAUAUGAUUUUUAUAAGGAGUUGCAUUAAAUAGAAUGUCUUACACAGAUUUAAGAGGUUAAUAAUUAUAAAAUUAAGAUGAGUUCUUAUAAAAUAUUCUUGAGGUAUAAUAAAAUUAUACUUGUGGAG
ensembl:lncRNA JPX JPX transcript, XIST activator